CUCGUAGGCGGCCAACUAAGUCGGACGUGAAAUCCCUCGGCUCAACCGGGGAACUGCGUCCGAUACUGGAUGGCUUGAGUCCGGGAGAGGGAUGCGGAAUUCCAGGUGUAGCGGUGAAAUGCGUAGAUAUCUGGAGGAACACCGGUGGCGAAGGCGGCAUCCUGGACCGGAACUGACGCUGAGUGAGCGAAAGCCAGGGGAGCAAACGGGAUUAGAUACCCCGGUAGUCCUGGCCCUAAACGAUGAAUGCUUGGUGUGGCGGGUAUCGAUCCCUGCCGUGCCGAAGCUAACGCAUUAAGCAUUCCGCCUGGGGAGUACGGUCGCAAGGCUGAA
rnacentral:rRNA from 1 species